ensembl:lncRNA
GGGAGAGAGGAACUUUUAAAUAUGCAGCAGGUAACAAAAGGUUCUCUGUAAGGUAAGAUUUUCCCCUUACGGAGAAUCUUUUGGUGGGAAUGUACAUGGGAGGGAGACAUAUGAAUCCUUACAUUAAGCCAUGCAAUUAAUGUAAUCCAAGAUGAAGCCGUUUUUUCCGCACAAUAAGAGACCCUCCCCUCACACAUUCUCAGUGGCAUUUGAGGAGGUAUAAAAGCCUUGACGGCCGCUGUCGCCACAGGACCAGUUCUAGUGCAAUACUACAUUGUGUACUGUACACCACCGGACCCUGUCUCUGACCUCCAGCCAUGAUGACCAGGAACAUUCUCAUCCUCUGCUCAUUAGCACUGGUACUGGUUAAAGCGGACCUUGAAGCAGCUGACGGAGGGUCCCAUGCCAUGUUUGCUACAGAUCCAGAUUCAACCUCAGAUGAAGCUCCAACUGAAAGCAUGAACCUGCUCUCACCCGACCUGCCCAAUGAUGCGAGCAGCACCAGUGCCGAGGCAGGAAACAGUGCACCUCAAGUAAAGGAUGUGCCCAAAGCUGAUGCAGCUAAAUCCAGCAUGGAAGAGCCUGAUGAGGAUGAAGCUCCAGACUCAGAGGAGGCGGCGGCGGUGGCAGCGGCUGUGAAACCCGCUCCGGUCCCAGUCCAGCGUGCAACCAAAUCCAAUAAUGCAUCAGCACGCAAGCGGAGCAAGCCCGUCCCUGCCUCAAAAAAGAGAUCAAGAAACCUCCGUCCCUGAGACGUGAACUGUGGCGAGAGAAACAGGGCAAAGCUGCAAUGACAAGGCAGUAAUAGAAGAAGGAGAAAAACAAGCGAUAUAAAAGUGUUCAGUGGCAUUUUUUUUUUUUUUUUUUGAAAAUCUUGAACUAGACUGUAUCUUCUGUGAUGUACUGAUCGGUUUGUGUGUUUGACUGUGUGUUUGUGUUGGUGUGAAUGCGUAUGACCUCUGUUAAUGUGAGCUACAUGAUUGUUCUUGCCAAAUAUUCUUCCAGACUUUACCCAGAGGCAAGGCUGACAUGGACACUUUAUAUGAUUGAUUUCAUUUCAGAUCAGACUAGAAGUUAAAUCUGAUAUAGUAAUAAGCUGAAAAUUCAGUUUUUUUUUUUGCCUGAUUAAUUACAGGAUCAAUUUGAAUCUAUAAAUCUCAGACUUGAUAAAACCGGUGCUGGCAGCCUGAUGACAUUGUGCUCAGAUGUGCCAUGACUUUAGCGACUAGCAAACACAAAAGCCUUCGCUCUCCUCACAAUGUCAGUGUUUCAAUCAAAAGUGUUUCUCUCUUUGUUUUCAGCAACUUUUUUUUAUACACAAAGUAUUUAACAUUAUUGAAUUUACAAAUAUUACAAUCAAUAACAUGUUAUUCUGAAACAUUUCUUUCCUUUUAUUGUACCCUUAAAUAAAACUCUAAGCAAUGAAUAUGCUAAAUUGCAACCACGUGUCUCUUUCACUAUGAUACUACAUUUGGUUAUCACAAAAUAUUGUGUGUGUGUGUGUGUGAGACCCUGGACCACAAAACCAGUCUUAAGUGUCAAUUUUUCGCAAUUUGAAUAAAUAAGCUUUCCAUUGAUAUUUGGUUUAUUAAAAGCAAUAUUUGGCCAAGUUACAGCUAUUUGAAUAUCUGGAAUCUGAGGGUGCAAAAAAAAUCGAAAUAAUGAGAAAAUCACCUUUGAAUUUGUCCAAAUGAACUCUUAGCAAUGCAUAUUACUAAUCAAAAAUUAUGUUUUGAUAUAUUUAAGGUAGGAAAUUUACAAAAUAUCUUCAUGGACCAUGAUUUUUUGAUUAAUAUCCUAAUGAUUUUUGGCAUAAAAGAAAAAUCGAUAAUUUUGACCCAAACUAUGUUUUUUGGUCUAUUGUUAUAAAUAUACCCCAGCGACUUAAGACUGGUUUCGUUGCAAAAAAAAAAAAAAAAAAUGUAUUUCUGAAAAAUUAACUGUUUGCCUUCAAGGGGUGAAAUAUCCUGGGGGACACAAACAUUUGAGAAGCUGAGGGGAGAAGCAGUGAAAGUGUAGGUCUCAUUUCUUGGUUUCAUCUUGAAAAGGUGUUUGUUGUGAAUAUUUAGAUGAAGUGACUUUUGUUUCUUCAUUCUUUAUUUAGCUCACGGGCAGUAUUUAAAACUGCAUGGCCGCCUGCAGUGGGAAAUACUCACCCUCCAAUACAUGUUGGUCUUGUUCACAUAUUUGGAGGGAACUUUUAUAAAUUAAAUGCUUUUUUUUUUUUUUUUUCG